UGCUGUUGCAUUCAGAUGUGUUUUGCGUAUAGUUGCGUAAAAAUGAAAUAUUAUAAGAAUUGACGAUUAAAAUGGAUGCGACUUCAACCUAGACGGUGUGAAUGGGAUUCAGUACGGAUUUACAAAGUUUUUUUAUCCAGUUUAAGUUGAUAAAACAAGUUUCUUAAAGGACCCAGCAGCCGGCAAAGGAGACUCGUGACACGCACUUAUGUACAUACAUAUAUGUACAUGUUUAAUUUUGCAGAAAAAUGUAAUGCUACCAAAAAAGUGAA